rnacentral:lncRNA from 1 species
AUACAUACACUCUCUUCAGCAAGCAUUUAUUGAGUAUCCAUGAUGUGCCAGACUUAAAACAGUCUCUCAGAAGACAGACAUGAAAAGACAGGUCUUGUUCUUAAAAUAUGUGGCAGUCUAGCAGGAAAAAUGAAUUUAAAAAAAUAAACAAGUAUAGUAAAUUGUGAUAAAUGCCAUCGUAAAAUGUUAUGGGAACAUGAGUUUGAAACUCUUUCUAACAGGAAGUGACCCUUGAAUGCUUUUGAAUAUGUUUCGAUUUCAUAAAUAUUAGUUUCCCAAAGUGAUUGAGCGAGCUUAUUUUCUUACCAGCCAUGUAUUUCUGUUUCAGCGAUUCCAUAUCCCCAGCAACACUCGCUAUUAUAAGUGCUCUUCAUUUAGCCAUUCUGGUAGAUAAGUUGUGGUAAAUCAUCCCAGUUUUAAUUUGCAUUUUCCUGAUGAGUAGACAUGAGUGGAGGCAACAGGUGGGGAAGAGUGGAGGGAGGAAGAUGGGUUACAGACAGGGAAAACAACAUAAAGAAGGCGGCUCAGAGGCUAAGGAUAAUGAUGUAUAUGGUCGGUGCAGAGGAUGGCAAGAGACCAGAGAGAAGACAAGGAGGAGUAUGAAAGGCUUUGCACAGCACAGUAAGACGGCUGAACUUCCCAUACAAUCACUAGAAAGCUAACCAUCAAAAGAUUUGUAAGCAGGAGAUAAAUAUAAUACUAGGUCAGUAGUUACAUGAGCCCUUUGACAACAGUGUGGAAGACAGAUUGUAGGCAGCACUACUUGAGGAAACAGCUGGAGACAGUGACAAAUAGAGCCUGGAUAGAGGCACUGACACCAAGGACCAUGCAAAGCUGGUUUUAAAAGACAAUUAGACAACAGAAUUAGCAGGAUUAGAUGGACAAGGGAGGUCAGGAGGAGUGAGGGGCCUGAGAUGGCACAGAGGAUUCUGGCCUGGGUAACUAAGGGGAUGGUAAUAAUAUUUACCAGCUUGGGAAAUAAAAGGAAAAGAAGCAGAUAAAGUGUCAUAUGUGAUGGGAGAGGAUGGCAAAGUUUGUUUGGGCUGUAUUUGAAGUGAUGGUAGAACAUGCAAUGAGAUAGAUAUUUUUUCCUCCCCAGCCUCAAAUACCUAGUCAGAUACCAAGCAGUUAUCCUGAGGUCUGAUAUUUUCUUGCCUGAGAGAUGAGCUAAGAAGAUUUUGUUUUCAAACUUUAUUUCAGAGGAGUAACCGAGCAACAUUUCCCAAGGACCAAAGGGGCCCUGUGAAUUGAGAGGAAAUAAACAAAAAGUGUCAUGGCCUUUGAGAAUAGGAAUAGGGCCCUGGAGAAAAAAAAUCUACAAAACAAAGGGGGAUGCUGUGAAGGACAUCAGCUAUGUCUCUCAGAGUGGCUGGGCCCAUAGUCCAAAGCAAGAUGGCACAGCAGAAAACAAAAGCAUAAGAUGCUGGACCCUGUAUAUUACACACUGGUCAUCAGCAUCCAUAGGGCCAUUAAAGCCAGGGGAAAGGGUAGACUUCCUCUAGGGUUUCUUAUAAGGUAAGAGGAUGAAAGGGCCAAAUGAUGGGAAAUAUCAGUGUUUAGGGGUUGACAAUGGGACGGAAGGAGUUUGAAAAAUAAAUAAAUAAAAUGUCCAGAGAGGCAAGAAGACCACCAGAAAAGACCAAUGUCCUGGAAGCCAAGGAAGAGAGAGCUUCUGGAAGGAAGUGAGCAACAAGGUCAAGUGCUGGAAAGACAAGUUUAAUAAGGGGAGGAUUUUAAAGAGUUAGAAAGUCAUUCAUGACUCUGUCAGAGCCAUUUUACCAGAUUGAUGAGUUAUAAGCCUGAUUAUGAAGAACUUUAAAGUACAUGGACCAUGAAGAAAUGUAGGAAAUGUUUUAUAUUCUCUUGUGGGGGAAGGUUGUCAGCUAUACCGAUUGCUUUUUAAAACACAAAAAACCAUAAAAGCAAAAAAAUAGCCUGCUGUAUUUGUCAACUAGGACAUCAAAAAUGGCCUUUUUGAGCGAGGUUCAACUGAGUGUUGAAGGCAGAGGCAAGGAGCUGAGACCCGAAGGGAAUGGGGGAACUGAGAACAGAAAGUUUUAAGAUCAUGUGGUCAAGACACUUGCCUGUGGUGAAAGAAAACAGGUCAAUUCGCUAAACCCAUUAUUUCCACCAGGCCCAGGGUCUCCAUGAGUGGCCAGUGUACCAGUGACACUGCCUGCUUAUUGGACUAGGGUGGGCACUAAAAAAGGGAAGUGAACUUUAUAGCAUGGAUGUCAAUCAAGGUGGGGCGCUUAAAGCAAUACAUACUUUACAUGUCAUGUAUACAUGACGUUCCUUUGGUGGAACCUCUUCUUGAGGAAAUUAAAAGUUUGCUCAUGCAAUAUUCUGUGAUAAUCGAUAUGGGGAAAAGAAUCGGAAAAAGAAUAGAUGUUUAUAUAUGUAUAACUGAAUUACUUUGUUGUGUAACAGAAAUUAAGACAAAUAUUGUGUAUCAACUAUACUUCACUAAAAUUUAAAAAAAAAGAAAAAAGAAAGUCUGCUCAUGGUUCAAUGACAGAUGCACAGUGACACUAUUGGAAGAGAAUCGUAAAUUUUUGGAUUGAGGAAAUACGCCCCUUUUUCUUGGAGAUUAAUUGAUCUCCAUUAUAAUUAGCUGUUGAAAUAAUGUCCAGAAACAUACUCUCUGUUAGAUUUCCUUUCAGAAAUCACAUUUCCCCUUUUCUAUAUUCCUCAUUAUUUUGAGCCAAGUAUAGGAAAGCAAAGGGUCAUUAAAAAAGAAGCCUAUAAACCAAACACUUUUGUUUACACCUUCAUGAUCUCAGAAUAGCUAAAUAAUAGUCGAUACCAAAAAAUAAAGCUAAAUAAGUCACCAAUUAUUGAUGAGGUCUGACUUGUUUUUGAAACAGCUCACUCAUCCAGUAAGUAUGGGCCCUUGUAAUUACGUCCUUAAAGCUAACCAGGGUUUUCAAAAGUCAAGUGUAACCAUGGGCUGUGGCUUUUAUUAGUCACAGCCUCCAGGAGUGUUGAUUCAGCUGAGCAGGAAGCGACAGGAGGAUUCACUCUGACUUGUUAAGAGUCAUGCAUGGGGGAGGGUCUGGGACUGUGUAGAAGAUGAACAAAAAUAAGCAAGUAAUUUAAAAAAAAUUUUUUUUUACUAUGAUUAAGAAAGGAGCAUUUUUUUUUUACUAUGAUUAAGAAAGGAGCAUUUAUUUUUCUUCUGCUGUAACUGUUCAGUUUCAUAAUGGGUUAUGAACUUGGUUACAUUCUUUUAAUGAUAUUUGAGCAGAGCAAGAGCAGGGAGGAAAUUACCAAGCAUGACUGCAGGCAAUUGCUGACAAAUACAUUUGCAUCAUUUAAAAAUAUUUAACGCCCUCUGCCUUUGUUGUGCAAGAGUAUACUACCAGUUCAUUAUGAUUUUUAAUUGGUACAACUCAAGUUGCUGAGUGCCACGUCUUGUCUAUUGGAGGCGAAAAAAACAAAACCAUCAUUAAUGAAAAAUCUCAAACAAGGUUAUGUUCGUCAGUGCGGAGAUGGGCUGCCUUUCUAAAUAUUUGAGAACAGUCUAAAAACUUUAAGGGUGUAAAAUUUAAAUUAAUUUAGGAAUUAAUUGAAAGAAAAAAUUAAGAACUUUAAUUGUAAAAAUACACGCAGAAGCCAAAGUUAACUUGAGAUAAAAAUUUUAGCCUUAAAAAUCUUUUGGGCAUGGAUAGACAAUCUGAGAGAAAAAAGUUUUUUAAAUCCCACUUCCGCUGCAUCUCAUCCACUCCACAACCUAAUAGAGUGCCUGAGAAACAUUUAUUGAGGACAAAUGUGAGUCAGUUAUUUGCUAGGGGAUGGGGACACAGGGAUGAGUAAGGUACCUACUUUCUUUUUUUCUUGGCUUUUUAGGACAUCACCUGCAGCACGUGGAAAUUCCCAGGCUAGGGGUUGAAUCAGAGCUGCGGCUGCCAGCCUAUGCCACAGCCACAGCCACACAGGGUCUGAGCCACAUCAGCACCCUACACCACAGCUCACAGCAAUACCAGAUACUUCACCCACUGAGCAAGGCCAGGGAUCGAGUUCACAUCCUCGUGGAUACUAGUCAGGUUCAUUACUUCUGAGCCACAAUAGGAACUCCCUGAAAUUUUUUUCAAUGUGCUUUUUUUAAAUUAUCUUUUUACAUUCUUUUCCUUUAUUUAUGGUUUACCACAGGAUAGUGAAUAUAGUUCCCUGUGCUAUACAGUAGGACCUUGUUCAACCAUCCUACAUAUAACAGUUUACAUCUGCUAACUGUAAAUUCCCAGUGCUCCCCUCCCCCACUCCACCCCCUUGGCAACCACAAGUCUGUUGUCUAUGUCUGUGAGUCUGUUUGUGUUUCAUAGCUAAGUUCAUUUAUGUCAUAUUUUAGAUUCCACAUAUAAGUGAUCUCAUAUGGUAUUUGUCUUUCUCUGUCUGACUUCCCUUAGUAUGAUAAUCUCUAGGUCCAUCCAUUGCUACAAAUGGCAUUAUUUCAUUCUUUUUCACGGUUGAGUAGUAUCCCAUUGUAUCGCUGUAUCCUAUCUUCUUCAUCCAUUCAUCUGUUGAUGGACAUUUAGGUUGUUUAUAUUGAUAGAUCCACUCUUAUAAUGAUUGGUAUAUAAGCUGUGUUUAACCUUUUUAUUUUUAUGGCUGAGUAGUAUUCCAUUCUAUAUACGAGAAGGUACCUACCUUCUAUUAGAAAGUAUGAAGACUAAUACCAAAAAAUCUGUAAGUAAAUAGUUUGAUAGAUGUUUCAUCAGAAAUUGGUAAAAGAUACAGAGAGCCACCUGUGUAGAAACAUUCAAUAGGGUAAGAAAAAACUUUACAAGAGGUAUCAUAGGCUACAUUUGGUUGGAAGAUUCCUCUCU